UACAGAGGUCCCAAGCGUUGUUCGGAUUCACUGGGCGUAAAGGGUGCGUAGGUGGCGGGGUAAGUUUGAUGUGAAAUCUCCGGGCUUAACCCGGAAACUGCAUUGAAUACUAUUCUGCUCGAGGGUUGGAAGGGGGACUGGAAUUCUCGGUGUAGCAGUGAAAUGCGUAGAUAUCGAGAGGAACACCAGUGGCGAAGGCGAGUCCCUGGACAACACCUGACACUGAGGCACGAAAGCUAGGGGAGCAAACAGG
rnacentral:rRNA from 1 species